UGGCCUCGGGCGGCCCCACGCGGCGCCCCGUUCCAGCGCCCGCGGCUCGGGCCCCGCAAAACCGCGCCCUUGGCCCCUCCUGGGCCGUGCGAACCCCCAGGGGAUUCUGCACUCUGGCAGUGGGGAGCCGCCGGCUCCCCACCCUGCUCCGGCCUCUCUCGGCCGACCCGCUGACCUCCGACCCUCACGUGCACGCGUCGGGCGGCCAGCAAGCGUUUGGGGGCCAGGCGAGCCCUUGGGUCUCGAGGCAGCCGUGUCCCCGGGGGCGGCGGGUCCGCCGGGCUGGUCCCGGGGCGAGAUGCCCACCAACUGCCCGCUCGGUGGUGGCUUCGGCGAGGCGGUCGAGCGGCCCAGGCCUCAGGAGGCCUGGCCACGUCUCCGGCGAGACCUCGCCUGGCCCCGCCGCCCUCGCCCGCCUUCCGCCCGCCCCAAGCUGGCCCCGAGGGAGCCGGCUCCCCGGGCCGACGGAAAAAUUGGAAAGCCUUCCCCGCCCGGGUGCAGUAAAGCACAGCAGAAAUUUGAUGGCUGUGUCCUGAUCUGAAGGAAAACUUCUGAUGGCUUUGGGGACAACAAGAAGCAGAGACAUGAUACCUGUGAACUCUUUGAGUGUUCUGUCUUCCUUGCCAUUUCUGAAGGCCAUGGGAUACUCUUCAAGGAAACUUCUGGAUGUGGUGCCAUAAGAGAGACGUAUGUCCGCAUUUAAAAGAAACUUGACAGUUCCCAAGCCUCCCCUGCUGUAAAGUCAGGCAUCAGACAGAACCUGGACUCCACGUGUGUAUUAGAAGUCUCGUUGAAGCCAUCCACGGAAAAGGAAAGUAUUAGUUCAUUUAGAAGUGAGCUUUGGUGGGUUUUAAAGUGCUCCCGGUCACAUAGUCUCUACGCAUAAUAAAUAAUCUAUCAAAACAACACUUAAAUGCACCACCAUUUACUAGAACCCUGCUAUACUGAGGGAAUUGUACCUUACAGAAAAUAUUUAGUAGUAAACAUAAGUAUCUCUUAUUUUAUCUAUUUGUCAUAUAGUGAGUUAUUUACUUAAGCAAAGGCCGUCAUCCUUCUGACAAAGGCA